rfam:Hordeum vulgare subsp. vulgare, WGS project CAJW01000000 data, contig: morex_contig_138679
UUUGUGCAGUGAUUAUAAAACAUUCCUCGUACUGAUGGGAGAACCACAUGAAUGACUCCUAAUACACCCAUAGAAUCUGAGCACCA